GUUUGGUAGAGUUUGGACGUGUUGUGCGGCUCGACGUUUGCCUGUUUCACAUUGUUGCACGGUUGAUUCUUGGCUACACUCUUCAAAGCAAGAGCUCCUUUGCUUAGAAUAUCACGAGAUAAUAAAGAGAAGCACUGUGCACUGACUGACGGGAGGCAACCGGAGAGAUAUAUUUUUCCAGUGCAACCACGAGCAAACCCUAUCGUCAAUUGUGAAUGCUGCAGAAGUUGCAGCGGAAAUCUAGUGGAACAGGAAGAGCGAGCCAAAGCCACAGCAGCAGCAGCAGCAGCAUAGUGGGAUACAUACAUCGUGUGUGAAGAAGCGACCUAAACUUCGAGACUUCCAUUUUCCUUCUCUUCCCAUACGCAUGAAUACUCAUCGUCGGGUUCCUCUUUCCGUUAAAUCUCGCUCGCUCGCAGAACGACGAGAAUUUCGUUCGUGUGGUGUAAAGCUGCUGGGCGUGCUAUAGUGGUGUUAGUGUUUUUGUGCCUCAGCUGCCGCUACGACCCGUCGACCGUGGAUGGUUUACCGAGUGGUGAAGUGAGUGCGCUUUGUUCUCCUUACGACGUGUGUGUGUGUGUGUGCAUUUGUGUGCGUGUGCGCAACUGCCCCAGCAGCAUAUUAGAGCUGUAAACAAUCGCUGGAGCUGUCAAAAAACGCAAGGAAAAACUAUUUGUGCUGUGCGACGAGUGUGCAGGAAGAACGCGAGCUGCGAGCAAAUUUAUUUAUUUUUUUGUGUUUUCCUGAAAGUUUGCUCUUGAGACUACUGCAAGGAUUAAGCAGUAGCGUUUCCGUGGAUAUUAUUGAUACUGAUACUGUUGUGAGAACCGAUCUCCCCCAGCGGGUUUGUUUUGGUUGAAGUGCUAAUCGAAGAGCCCUUGUGAUAGAGCAGCAGCCCGAAGAAGAGACGCUUCCAUUGGAACAAGGGAAAAUAUUUGGACUUGUCCGUCUCAGGCUCGCAGUCGUCCCGUAGCUCGUUGCGAAGGAUUAAUCCCGGAAGCCCUGGUUCAUCACCCCUUUAAAUUCUUUGACAACCAUAAAGGGGUAGAAGUUGCGUUGGAUCGUAGUGACCAACAUAAUAGAAUCAAGCAGACGAUUCGGCCGCGAAAACGCGGAAGAAAGUUGCGAUUUAUUGCACUUUGUUGUGUUAUCGCGAAGAGCAGCUAUUAUUGUUUGUGUCUCGAAACAAAUCUGCGCGCGUGUGAAUUGUUUCGCUGUUUCGAUUAGCAGUGUUUGUAAAAGUCAAGAGUGACAGUCGCAUAGAGAAUAAAAGACGACCGAGGCGCCAAGUUUUGUCGCAAGAAGCAAAAGUGGUGUGUUGUGAGUUUUUUUUUUCGGAUGUAUUAGUGUAUCUUGGCCAUUAGUAGUGUCUGUCGUACGUGUUGUUUUCGUAGCCAUACGAUUAGAGUCAAAUCCGAAAGAGUCACAAUAGGCGAAGCAAAAAGUGUUUCUGUUCGGGCAGCUCAUAUGUUGUUAAGUUAGGUUCGAAUCGCAGUGCUAUCGUUUCGAUUCGGUGAUUUGAAUGGCGGCAGUCGGUGGUCCAGCUAGGCAAUCGCGCGGGGUGUCCAUGAGCGUCUCGAUGUCGCUGGUGCAAGGUGGCGCAGCUGGUGCGGCCGGCCCCCAGGGAGCGAUCCUGGCGGCGGCCGCACCCUACUAUCAGCCACCGGCCGUACCCCAGGAUGUUCAGCCAGACCGACCCAUCGGAUACGGAGCGUUUGGAGUCGUAUGGGCCGUCACAGAUCCUCGGGAUGGACGGAGAGUCGCACUGAAGAAACUGCCAAACGUGUUCCAGUCGCCGGUGUCAUCGAAACGGGUUUUCCGCGAACUGAAAAUGCUCUGCUACUUCAAGCACGAGAAUGUAUUAUCAGCCUUAGACAUCCUGCAGCCGCCACAUCUAGAUUUCUUCCAAGAAAUAUACGUUAUCACUGAACUGCUUCAGUCGGAUCUGCACAAAAUCAUCGUCUCACCUCAGCACCUCUCGGCGGACCAUAUCAAAGUGUUCCUGUACCAGAUCCUGCGCGGUCUCAAAUAUCUCCACUCAGCCCGCAUACUCCACCGGGACAUCAAACCGGGCAAUCUGCUGGUGAACAGCAAUUGUGUACUGAAGAUUUGUGAUUUCGGGCUUGCGCGCGUUGAGGAACCGGAUCAAGCGAAACACAUGACUCAGGAAGUGGUCACACAGUACUACCGUGCACCGGAGAUUCUGAUGGGUGCCCGACACUACUCGGCCGCCGUGGAUGUCUGGUCGGUGGGAUGCAUAUUCGGUGAACUGUUGGGAAGAAGAAUUCUCUUCCAGGCGCAGAGUCCGGUUCAGCAGCUGGAACUAAUUACCGAGCUGCUGGGCACACCAACGCUCGAGGACAUGCGACACGCCUGCGAGGGAGCCAGAUCCCACAUGCUCAGACGGGUACCGAAGCCACCGUCUCUGUCCGCACUGUACACCCUCAGCACACAUGCCACCCACGAAGCGGUUCAUCUCCUCUGCCAGAUGUUGGUCUUUGAUCCGGACAAGAGAAUCUCGGUGAUCGACGCACUGGCCCAUCCAUACGUCGACGAGGGUCGACUCCGUUACCAUUCCUGCAUGUGCAAAUGCUGCUACACUCCGUCGGCCGGUAUGCGCCAAUAUGCUGCGGAAUUUGAACCCUCGGCCGCACAGCCAUUCGAUGAUCUCUGGGAGCGAAAAUUGACAACGACACUGCAAGUGAAGGAGGAAAUGCACAAAUUCAUAGCGGAACAAUUGCAAACUGGACGCGUGCCGUUAUGUAUAAAUCCUCAGAGUGCUGCAUUCAAGAGUUUCGCCAGUAUCGUCAACAACAGCAAUAACAAUCAUCAGCCAUCACCAUCAUCCAAUUAUCAUCAGCAGUAGCUCUAGAAGGGAGAAUGUGUAAUCUAGGAGAGAAGAGAAUGUGUGAGAGAGAGAGGGAGACAAAAAAGCACAAAACUGCCAGCUGCAAACAAAAACUGAAACACACUUCCGCCUAGACUCUCUUCUACCACCUAUAUCUCCAUGACCCACUACUAGCUAAGCCACUAAGAAAUCAUUAUCUCGACGGGUGCUGCGGACAGGUUGCCCUAGCUCAACCGUAGCCCACCCAUCGGAACUUCCGCCCUCGCCGCACCAAUGGGAAUGACAGAAUGAAGCGAUGGCAGCCUGAAAUUUGUAAAAAGAAGAAACCCACUUUUGCGCACUGAGCUGGGCGAUGUGCGAUUUAACGAAAAGUUUAAACCCAAAACCAACACAUACCGACACACAGCCAAACAUACAUUUUUGGAGAAGAAAACAAGCAAAAAACCUCGAGAAAAAAAAUCAUAAAACAUCAAAAAACAAAAUAUUAAUUCGUUGGAAAUAAGUGAGAGCAACAUAAUAAUAUGUGUGCGCUUGCGGAAACUUGCAUCUGGAGGACGAGCCCGGAGAGGAUGCUGACACCUGACAAAAAAAACAUAGAUUUGUGGAAAGGUGUGACGGAAGGAGGAAGCAAGACAAAAAUGCUAGUCGUCGUUGCAUUAAUGCAAUGCAUCACGCAAUGCAAUCGCCAAUUUGAGUGCGUGGGGCAAUCUUUUGCAGAGUUGCAGAGGUAGCCCUUGCGUUUCGCGUACACCUAUCCCCCUAACGACGGAAACUAGAAGUUAGUGAUUAUGUGUGUGGAAAUGUUCACUGUGUAUCCUUUACCCUUGGUAUAUCGUGAAAUAGUUAAGGUAUUCGUGGGAGUAGUAGAGCAAAGUAAGAGGAAAUUGACGACAAAAAUAUGGGCGCGUUCCGUGGUUUGCAGAAUUAUGCAAAUAUAAUAACCGCUUACUUCAUAUAGACUUUAGUUUUGCUGUUUUGCUGUAUACUACUGUUAGUGUAGAAAAGAUUAACUCUGCAAAGUGGAAGGCGAGGAAUCAAGCCGAGUAUCAACACGAGCGCAUUAGCGCUAAUGAUGGUGAACAAGAUCCUAUAACAUUUAGUAGACAAUUUUUUAGUUUUAUUUACGAUACCGCGAAAGCGGGAAUGUAACCUGUAAUGUAAAUAAUUAAGUUGGUGCAAAAUAAUACUACCUUUAGAUAAGAUUCAUGAGCAUUAAGUACUCUCUACCCGCUCAGGUGUGUAAUUGUGGCAAAUGCAAAUCAUACAUGCGUUUAAAAGUAGUUGUGUUCGAUGAAAAACUAAACAAACAAAAAAAAAACAAUAAAUGUAAGUACCUUCUGAUCAUGAUGUCGGCAAAAGCUUCGACAAUAUUUUAGUGUGUAUGUGUGUGUGUGUGUGUAAGGACAUUCUGCAGAAAAGCGUAAAAUUCGGCCAAGAAGGCAUUAUGUUCGUAUCAUAAUGAAUUAUGCAGAAUUAUGCAUAUGUGAAAACCGUUUCAUUGAUUUUUGGUUUUGGCAAGCUCUUACCAACAACCAAUGGCAAAAUGCAGGGGAAAUAAAUUCGAAACGAGCGAGAUAAUAACGCACACACACACAUGAUAUAACAAACUAAAUAUUUAAUAAAGUAAUAAAAACCAGAACUGAUUCAGAUCCAGGGGUUGCUGCGGAUCCGCGCACUGUCCCCUGGAUACUACUAGCGAUAGAUACAUAAAUGUGUAUAUUACGUUUCCAUUACGUGGUAAGCUGUAGUUUUAAGUUGGGAUAUACAACACAAACACACACACAACGGAACCGCGCCACCUUUGUAAAUAGUUGAUUCAGCACAGAUUUCACACAUCUGGUUUGUGUUUUUUUCUCAACCGUAAUAUGGGAUUCGUUUAAGUGUGUGUACCUUUAGUUUAUCCCACUAGGGGAACCGACAUUCGUUUUUUUUUUUGCGUCCCGUCAUCGUGACCACCACAAAAACUCAACCUCCAAUUCCCUCAUUCACACUUAAAACGUUAUAAGCGGUGUUCAGCGGAUUAUAUAAGAUUUACCCGAAAUCCGAAUUCACCCGAAGUUCAUUUACCACACCGAGGAAGAAUUAAAUUUUCCCAUUUUCCCUCAGAGUUUUCCAAAAACAUCUGAUUGUCACGUUUGGUUGAAAUGUGUUUAAUUUUUAUGAGAUCCCCUCCUCCUUCCAGAGGAGGAAGGGAUGUCAAACCAUCAUAGAAAUGUUUCUUGUACUCUAAAAUCCUUACAUUUCAAUUUUGGUUUCAUUUGCUUUAUAAUUUUUCGAGUUAUGCAGAAAUUUGUGUUUCGUUUGUAUGGGAGAGAGAGAGGGGAGGAAUGUCGAACCACCAUAAAAACAUUUCUUUCCCCCUAAAACCUCCAUAUGCUAAAUUUGGUUCCAUUUACUUCAUUAAUUCUCUAGUUAUGCGUAAAUAUGUGUUUCAUUUUUGCGGGAGCUCUUCCUUCCAGAGGGGAGCGGGGUCACGAACCAUCAUGAGAAUCUUCUUCGGCCCCGAAAACCCAACAUACAAAUUUUCGCGCCGAUAGGUUCCGUAAUUUCCAAGUCUACAAGGAACAGACAGUCAGAAAUCCAUCUAUAUAUAAAGCGAUCGCAACAAAAAACCCACUUAAACCAUCAUCAUAUCACAUGUGACUUAAAUGAACAAUGUUUGUGAGAUGAUGGUAUUCUUGUUUUGUAUUACAACAGUUAAUGAAGUAUAUACACUGAGAUUGAAACAACAAUGAAGUUAAUUUAUUCUUAAAUUAAAGCUUGUGAUGCAAAUUAGUGAAAUGUAUCCAUGUUGUUUCAUGUCAUGAAAAAAAAUCCACUUUAAAAAUUCAUAACAAAAGAAAAACGAUGUGAUGAUGCAAACUUGAGAUCUUGAGAUCUUGUUCGUGACGCAAGAAUUGCCCAGAAUAGCCCACAGAUUUUCAAUAGGGUUCAAAUCUGGAUUUUGGACAUACUAUUUCAGAACUUCCAUCCGCUUGGACUUGAAUAAACCUUCCUUUUUUGGCAGUAUGUUUAGGAUCAUCAGGUUCUGUUGGAAAAUGAAGCCUUUGUCUACGCCGGUUUUUGCAACUGAUUCGCGAAGAUAUUUCAUUGAUGGUGUCACUGUAGGCGUCAGCCGUUGUGAUGCCGUUGAUUUGAACUAAGUUUUCUACUCCAGCUCAGGCAAAGCAGCCCCAGACUAUGAUGGUUCCAUAUCACAGUCCACAAAACACGUUUCCUGAAAGAUACCGGCUUGUUGAGAUAUUUUUUCGCGAACUCUAGCCGUGCUUUUUUAUUUUUGGAACUGAUGGAUGGUAGUUUACGAGCGAACUUGCUCUGCAAUCCAUGUUCCCUGAUCCUGCGGCCGAUUGUACGGUCGGAUACCUAAAAGCUGGAGGUUUUCCUUGAUAGAUCGAAUGUUUACCGAUAGAUUUUUCUUGAUUUCUCGGAAGAUCAUUGAAUCAGUGCGACGUUUUAGGCACAUCUUCUCCAAUACCAAUAACAAGGAUUACAUCAAUAUUUAGUUACAAGAUAUUGUGAAAUUUUCAGUGGUUUUUUCAUGUCAUACCUGUUUAAAUCAAAUUUGCAUAGAAUUUGAAAAAUUGCGAAUCAAGUUGGAAUUAUUCAGUGCUAUGUUCAAUAACGGUUGAUAGAAAUUUCUAUUUGAGAGAUUACCUUAGGCAUUAUUCACAUAUUUCUAAUCAUUCAGCUAUGAAAAAGUUUCUGAAUUCGGAUGGAUUUUUUUCGUUGCAUAUAGAUCAACUCUGAAAAAUCAACAAGUUAAUAACAGCGAUGUUGCUAACCAUAAAACGUAAGGUUUUAUAAUCAACACUCCUCCUCAACCUCGCUGGAGCUAUAUCCGAUUAAUUCUUUCAACGCCUCCAAGUUUCACUGAUCCCAGGAGCUUGGUAAAAUAGGUCUACUUGUAUCCGAUCCGUUGAACAGUAUGUAACGAAAGGUUAUCUAUUUAUUUCUUGUUAAAGAGAGUUCUCUCAUUGCAUCUCACUCAAUCAGCAAAUUUCAAACUGUAUAUUCUACAAAUAUCUACGAAAUAACUACAUUUGCUGGGUGCACACUCAAACACAAUAAGUACAUGCACCGGGUUCCCCCAUACUCACCAAGUGUCUUCUGUCAGUCUGUCAUCAAUGUCCCACUGGUCGCACCGCCAAUCCUCCAGUUGCUCGCGCUGCACCUCGUCGGAUUACAAUCCGCAGUUGGUUCCCGCUCCACGGAUCGUUUCCGUUCCUUCCGGUCUGCUCGGGGCCACCCGCAGCUCCUUGAUACCGAGGGGAUUCACCUUCCUCCGGCUCGCUAAGCCCGCGGCCAUCCGCGGUACUCAAGAUCCCGCAGUGAUAAUCUUUCGACAUGCCACGCUCGGAACCACCCCCAGAACACACGAUUCCGUAGGGAUUUUUCUUUUUUCGGCUUAUUUUUCCCGAGGCAACCCGCGACACACACGAUCCCGCAGGGAUGCACUUUCCUGCUUUUCUUCUCCCGGAUUUUUUCUCUCCCGAUUGACUUUGCCCGGGUAUCCGGCGACAUACACGAUCGCGAAGAGACACACUUUCUCCGGUUUGUCUUGACCGGAACCGCCUUAGCAUGAGCAAAUUUGCUCCUCGCACCGGCUAGCACGAUUCCGUCGAGAAACACCGCUCCGGGUUUUCUUCCCCGGGGGCUCGCUAACACGUGGCACGCUUCUUUCAAGAUAGCGCCGCGAAUAUCAGGCUCUCAUCGAGCAUUAUAAAAGGCCACAGUAAAUGCUCGAACCAUUCAAUCACUCUUCACUUGAUCGUGAGCGAUACCAUAAUCGUCUUAUACAGCGCGAUUAAAUGUGAUAAUUAUCAUCGUCGAAAGUACCAUCAAGGAACAGGGAAAAGCGGGGCUCUGGCAACCCUAUCCCAUCCAAUGCAAAUUGAGCGUAGGCAGCAUAAAACAGGGCUCGCGCUUAGGGGGCUCACGUAUUGUUUAAUGUUUGGAGUCAUAUAUGUUAAUAUUUGAUUACGUUGGAUAGUUUUUUUUGGCAAGCGAUGUUUGGAUACCCAUCCGGAAGCUUUCUUGACGAUUUGCAAUUCAAAUCACAGCCGAAGAAUCGCGCGGAGCACUUCAUUUUGAAUUUUAGGUUAUGAUUUCUAUGCUCAUGAUUUUCUAUGCUGGCUACUGAAAGGCGGCCAUCUUAGCAAUCCCUUGGGGAAAAGAGAUCGAACGAAGUCUCUAUUCUUCCUCCGCGGAAGUGAGUUACUGUGCGACUGUUAUACGCGCACGGUUGGUGAUGACAGUAUCUGUCAUGUAAGUGUUAUACUGUACGGGGGCUCUGUGCUGGGUGUUCUGUUUCUUUCGUGUAUAAUUAUUGUUGGUGAUUCUUACAAAAAGCGCAACGAAUGUUACAAGUAUUGAAUUGUAUCAAUGCCAUCUUUAACCAUAUCCUUCACAAAACAGAACCUAUUAUACGUAUUUGGAUCAACAGGAAGAUCUGUCAACAUCUGAAGACGGUAACAAACUUGGAUUAUCUUCGUUUACCUUAACCGAUGCCAAGCGUUCGAAAAAUCAAACAGCAACUUCGAUAAUUUUUCAUGGCUUUUGAAAGCAACCAUAUGGUAAGGUUUGGCAUCAAAUGAUAGCUUAGUCUAUUAGAUAUCGCUUACUGUCAGUUUCAUUCAAUUUUGUAUAACUUUAUUGGGCAAUCAAUUCGAAUAAAAGCAACUAUGUGCUAAUAAAAAACAAAACCUUAUAAAAUUCAAAACUAUGUAAACUUUUCUACAAUAUUAGUUUGAUAAAAGAUCACAUGUAACCAUGUAAUCAUUGGUUUGAACAGGAACAAAAAUGUAGGUUUUGGAGAAUGUUUUUGUUUGGCAAUUUCGAUUUUUUGUCAAUUUCUGGAAAACGGAAGAACGGAAAAAAUAAGAUUUGAGAUAGAUUGGGGUUUCUGUAACGCCAAUAAUCAAAAUUACACCAAUGGCUUCUGUUAAUAAAAUAUUUUUUACAGCUUGUUCGUUAAUGGGGUAAUAACGAAAUGUUUUUCAAAUCAGUAACGUAAAACUGGAUUUCAAUUCCUCCGAGUUCAGUCUCGACCCACAACCUAUUGGAAGUCAUGCGUGGAUUCUCCGAGUAUGGAAUAGAGACUAAAUAUGUGCUAACUGCUUGAGGUUCAAAUGACCUGUGAAAAAAAAUGUUUGAAAAAAACAAUCAUACAACAUGUUACUUUGGUAAUAACAGCGAUGAUGCUAGCUGUAAAGCGUGAGCUACUAUGAUCAACAAGAGAAAGGGGAAACUAAAAGUCCAUCGGAAGCCACAACGCUGGUCUAAUCUUUCAGGCAACAACUGAUUGAAGUCUGGCUGUACUGAAGUGAUCCAGCCAAGUUUUGAUUCCUUCACAAGAGCGAAACCGCUUUUCAGAAAGAACUGACGCCAUGGAUUCUUAUAAAAAAUAAUCCCAGAGAGCAGUGUCUGGGAAAUAUAACGAGUGAGAUAGGACCUCUCACUUCUCUGUUUGUAGAUAAUUCUCGACAGAUCCUCGAACAUGUGGUCUGGUGUUGUCAUGCUGUAAAAUUCGUAUAUAUUCUCUCAUUCCGGUCGUUUUUCUUUCGGAACUCUGUGAAGCUCGGGUAAAUGUUAUAUAGCCGCUCACCGCCAUGAUAAAAAAAUAAACACUCAAAAAACGCUUUAAAAACGUAGAAAUCCAUGAUGGUGACGACGACGACAACGACAUCGAGUAGAUAAAAAAAGCAGUUAAUAAGAGGAUUGAGAAAAAAAAACUUUCACGAAGAUCUCAUUAUUAUUUUUUGUGUCAGAUAGAAGUAUUAGUUCUUAGUCAAGUUGUGUAUCCCUCGCAGCAGCCGGAGCAUUUGGGACGGACAAUCCUCAAGUCUUUCCGCUGCUACGCUGCGCGUGGGAAACAACAAAUGAUACGCAUGAUUCAUAGAUAAUUAAGUUCAAUUUACCAGUAAUGUUCUCUACUUAUAUUUCAUCUGUGGAAAGAAUGGAAGUUGAAAAACCAGCAAUGAUUGCGAAAUUAGAGCCAACUAUUAAAGUCAUAUUUCAUGUAUAUAUAUUAACAAAAAAACGUCAGAUGAGUAGGUAGAGGCGAAUGAACUGCAAAGUUUAAAGCCUCUUAAAAACAAAGAAGAUAAGAUCAGAUGAGUAAACAAAUUAGGGUUGAUAGCAACAGCAUCGCAGAUACGGAUCUUCGGAUUCGAGAGUAGCAUAAAGUUCGAAAUCAAAUCUGGUUCCAAAUAGUUUUAGAAUUCAGGAAAUGACUCUCGUCGUGGGUUGAGGGACCCGCCAUCUGGCGGGGCCGAAUUCCGUAAUAAAACAAACAAAAACAAAAGAUAAAAAGCUUUACUGGAGCAAGAGGAAAAAUGGCUGCGGCACCGGCAUCCGCAUUUAGCCAAGACACAUGCGAACGCAUAGAAAGAAAGCAUUUGAACCACGUCACCACCGCACUGUGGCGGCGCUACGAACGCUUUGAAUGCGUGGAACGAAACGAAACGAAACGAAUCGUUUCCUCUCUCCACACCCCCAUCAAUACGAAACAAGACUUGAUUUAGAUUCAUUUUAUAUAGAAUAUCUUUUUUUUUUUGAUAAACUAAUUUCCAACGAGUCUUUAUAGCAUUAUUAUCUCUACGUAAGGUACUUUGUAGCUCAUUUUACAUUGAGUUAUCUGAUUGAGAUAUGAGAAAGAAGAAGAAAAAAGAGGAAACCAUCACUGCUGCGUGCGCAUGGACUUAGCGAUUUUGCUUAGUUGUGUGCAUAUAUUCUAUUUUUUGCUUUGACUAUAGAAAAAAAACAAAACAAGGAAGUUACGAAUAAACAUGGAAAAAUAUGCUCGAUUGUGUAUUGAUAGUUACUAAUAGGAGGAUGCAAAAGCCACGUCGUGUAGGACAAAUAAGAGGAACAACACAAGAAGGCACGUAAAGAGGAGCGGUGUAAAGAUAAGUGAACAAUGUGUAAUUAAAAAACUGUAAAAAUUUUAUAAAAAAAUAGAAAAAAAACAAGAAGCACUUAAAACAGACACAAACACUCACCCGCUUUUUAUUUUUAUGUCCCAUAAUUUUGUCUAUUUUGCUCGGUUUAUCAUACUCAAUCAUUUUCCACCUUAGCAUUUGGUUUCCGUUGUCGCUUCUAAAGGUUUUUUCAUUGUUUGCGAGGGAGCCUAAUUUCACUUCCUGUAUGUUGAGUUUUAUCGAAUUUCAUCAUACUUUUGUGCGUGUGGAAUCCGUAACAUAUUUUCGUUCGAAUGUUUUUUGACCGUUCACGAUCUUUUCAUGUCUGCAGCCUUCGUUUUACAAUCGCCCAAUGUUUUACGAUUGGAUUGAGGUCUUUUUCAAUGUAAUCGACCCUAUUGCCACGGUACCACUGGAGCACCUCUCACGCUUGACAAAUCUGGCCAAAAUUUCAACGGACCUUUGUGAGUCCUAAUUAACGGCUCCAUCCGUUUCUGCAGGCUUUCUUACCAAUAAAUUUUCGAGUCUGUUGUCUUGUUUGUGACAGGAACCUUGGUUUUCCAUCCACAGCUGCAAAUCGCUUGCCAUAUCAAGAACUUCCUGGUGACUUUUCUUCAGCGUUCUGUUUGAGUGCUUGCAGACACGGAAACUACAAUAACCUCACAUACGGUUUCUCCGGAUGGUACUUGUGUUAGGGUUAUGUUUUUCGGUGAUGUCCUAGUCAGAGAGUCCUGGGUUCGUCCUUAUUGUUCUCAAUACCUUCAACCUCAGUUUACGAUCGUAAAUUCCACUACGGCGCGUUCUCUGAUCCAUCCUAACAGCAGUUGUAUGUUCACUAGGGUGCCAAUGAAAGUAUGGGAAAAAAUCGACCCUAAAAUUUCACAAUGUUACCCAAAAAUGUUCACCACCUCGAAAAUACACCCUAUGCAAAAUAUCAGCUCAAUCGGACUUAAGGGAUAGUGGCGCAAAGCGGUCGAAGUUUGAGUUUUUUGAAAAUCAGAAAAUCACCCAUUGGGGGGAGUACAGGAAAUCGGGAUUUUCGAAAAAAAUGUUUGAUGCCAAAUGCUUUAAAAUUGCAUAAAACGUCGAGAUCUAGCGUAAUCUCAAUUUUUUGACGUAGGACUACGUCUUUCAUUUCUAUACUAGGGGGUAAAUUCAGAGUUUUGAAAACGAAAGCGUUACGCCGGAGACCGAGAUUUUGAGCGUUAAUAGCUCCCAAACAAUUGAACGAAAUGGUAUGAUAUAUACUUCACUCGAAAGAAAAAAUGUCUGCGCGUUAUAUGCUUGUCAGUUUUGAUCCAAAAACUUGUUUCAAUAGGCCUAAAAUUGCUUCCAAAACAGUCUAUUGAAAUCACACCAAUCGGUAUAUAAGUGAGUGUCGCUCGGAGAUCCACUCUGUUAUGAUUACGCAACGAUUGAGGUACGAUCGCUAGAAUGAAUGGAUGUUUCCCUAACACAGACUUUGAAAUCAUGAAGCCUAGGGAAAUCGACAUUACAAAAUAGAUGCGAGCUGCGGGUACUUUUGUACUCGCUUGCGUUUCUGCAAAUUGUAAUGUUUCCCUAACACAGAUUUCUAAAACAUGGAGCCUGGGGAAAUUGGCAUUGCGAAAUAGAUGCAAACUACGGGCACUUUUGUACUCUCUUGCAUUUUUGCAAACCGGAAUUCGUUAGGAAUUGAACCGGCAUUGAAGAUACAUUCAAGUCGGCAAUACUUUUAUACCACAUGCAUUUUUACAGUCCGGAAUUCAUUUUGCUAACACGGCCUACAAAAGCGGGUACAGAUUAGGAUUGGGCGAUCUUCAUAAAAAGAUCGAUCCUAUCGAAUCGAUUUUCCAAUCGAUCUUUGUCGAAUUGAUUUUUGAAAAAUUAAAAGCUUUUUUUGAUUUAUCUGUUUAUUCUAUAUGAAUGCUGUCGUUUCUUUGAACAGGGAAUACAAAUUUCAUAUUUCUAUUCAAAUAUCAAAAGAAUUUUGUUUUGUUUCUCAGCAUGUGGCCCACAGGGCAUUCAUCUUGUGCCAUCAAGUAAUCGUUUUGUUUGAAAAGGUAAUUGAAAAAGUAUUAUUAGAAUUUCAUCAACCGCCCAGAACUCAGCUGACAAUGAUCCCAUAAAAGCCAAUCGUACCAUAUAUCUGUCAUUUAGUCGGAGCCGAUUCUUGAUUUUGGCGCCAGAUCUAGAAAACAACCUUUCGCCUGUUAUUGAUGUCAACAUCAGGUUCAGGGAUCUUAUGCGCAAUCGGUUACAAUUCAUCCCCUCAGUAGCUGCUGCUAGUUCUGUCUCUAUUAGCAUUUGUACAAAAGUAAAUCGUAGAAGGAGCAAUUCAAAUGUUUAAAAAUCGAUGUGUACUGAAAAACAAAUCUACUAAAAGAUCAAAAAGAUCGAAAGCAAAAAAAUCGAUUUUCUCGAGCAUAAAAGAUCGAUCCAAAAAAUCGGAAAUCGGAAUGGAAAAGAUCGAUCUUCUAAGAAUCGAUCCGAGAUCGCCCAAUCCUAGUACAAAUACAACGCCAGAGAUUAUGGGAAUUGGCUUAUUUUUUUUUUUAUUUUUUUUUAUAGAGACUUUGCCUAAUGUGGCAUUCGCCUCUGUAUAUUGAUUAAAUUUUGUGAGUUUACAGUAAUUCAUAUAUGAUUGCACAGUUUGAUGUCUUUUAAAAAUUUCAGUACUUUUUUUUCAUUCUGUUGUUGUUACUCAAGAUAUCCCUUAUAUUGUUUGGUAGUCCGUUUCGUCUCCUUUCAAUAGCGUAUUUACAGCAAUCGUGUAGUAUAUGGUUCACAGUGAUUGGUUUGCUACAGAUGUCACACAUCGCGGGAGGUUUCCUCUCGAACAGAUACUUUUUGUUGAACCAAGUAUGUCCCAGACGCAAUCUGGUCAGGACUAUUUGCUCUCGCCUAGUUUUUCUGUCUUUCCAUCUCGUUAUGGUACCUUUAAUGAGUUUUUGACCUCUCGUAUCUGCGUUGUUCCAGAUAGAUUGAUGUUUUUGCCACAAAAUCCUUCUACACCAGCUAACUACAUCUCGUGCGAGAACCGAGGGACAAAUCAACUCCGCAUUUCGUCCUUCGCGAGCCAUGUCAUCCGCCUUUUCGUUCCCGUCGAUUCCCUGGUGACCAGGAGCCCAGCAUAGAAAUUGACUUAAAUUGGGAUUUGUUUGCAAUUGAAUUCGUAAAUAGUUUCAUUCAUUCACUAGUUCAAUCAAUAAUUUAAUCAAUACCCACAAAAGAUAGCUCUGCGCAGCGGUGAUAUCAUACCCAAUGAGGAACAUCCGAGGUGGGAUUAUUGCUAAUUGAAGAAAUACAAUUGAUUACUAAGUCAACGGAAGUCCUACGUCAACCUUGCGGCUAUAUCAUAGGUAUAACCCAUCCAUAGUUUUUUUGUCAGAAAUCGACAUUUUAUUAUGGUUUUGGAUACCAAUAAAAAUAGUUUUCUAGAUUUUUCAUUCGGAACUUGCUGCGAAAUAUUGAUUUGUACGAUAAUAUACUCUACGCAAAAUAUAAGCUAAUUCUAACUGAAUUUAUUAGUGUCACACACGUUUAAACCCUGAUUUUCGGUGUCCUUCGUUUUUCAAAAAAUAAAUGAAAUUCGAAUGAGCUAAUAUUUUGCAUAGGGUAUAUUAUCGAACAAAUCAACAUUUCGCAGCAAAUUCCGAAUGAAAAAUCGAGAUAACUAUUUAUAUUGGCACGCAAAACCAUAAUAUUCGUUUCGUAUUCCGAAAAAAACGAUGUCCCAGAGUAUCGAGUCAUAAAAAUUUUCUCUCUCGGUAAACGUAAUAUAAUUAUGAUUUGCACUUAUUUAUAAAACGGUUUUAUCUAAGUUGAAACAUUUGUAUGUUUGUGACUUUGUAACAUGUUUGUCUGUAGCGAUGACCCACAUUAAUAGAAAUUUAACCCCCUUCCUAUUGACUGAUUGAUCUGAAAUUUAGAACACAUCUUUAUCUCUGGUGUCAUUAUGAAACUGCGUAUUCCAUGAUCCUGGAAAUCCAAGAUGGCGGCCGCUACAAAAUAGCGGAUUACCUAUUUUCUCAGAACCCCAUCAAUAUGUAUAUCAAAUGAAAAGGAUUGACUAGUAGAACACAGUUAAAUGCAAAUCCAAAAUGGCCGCCACCACAAAAAGGUGCCAUAUACAUUUUUUCCAAAAACCUCAUCAAUAUGGGUACCAAAAGAAAGUUCUCGAUUAGUAGAACAUAGUAAAUCAUGAAAAAUUCAAUUCCAAGAUGGCCGCAGUCCCCAAACAACUAAUUACUUUUUAAAUGGUUUCAUUCAGCUUGACCUGUUUCUAUGUAUGUUUGAAUGUUUGUAAGGUUGUCCCACAUUAAUAGUUGCCUGUUGACUGAUUGAUCUGAAAUUUGGAAGACAGCUUUAAUUCUACUGUCAUUAUAAAACUGCGUAUCCCAUGAUCUUGAAAAAUUCAAUUUGGUCGUCGCUAAAAAAUGGCUGAAUGACUUGACUUGAAGAACACGAUAAAUUCAAAAAGGUCGCCGCCACUAAAUGGUCGACUAUGUAUUUUUUUGCAAUCCCCGCAAUAUCGGUAUCAAAUGAAAUGAUUUGACUAAUAGAAUACAGUACGAGGUAUGGCUAUUAACACAUUAAGGACCGCACGUUUUGGGGCAAACUUGAACGCUUCAUUUUUUCGGCUUCCACGAAUGGGAUCGUUUCCUUCGAUGUGGAUGAGACGAAAGCGAGUCAUCGGUAGGCCUUGUUGGAUUCUUGGCAAACCAAGGAUUUAACCUUCAAGUGUAGAAAACACGGGUUAUUUCGUGAUCCAUCCGUAACGGAUGGAAUGCGAAACACGAGAAAUCUCGUGAGCGGUCCGCAAUAUGUUAAAUAACGAGACUGUUUACGAAAAUGGGGUUAUAUUCUACAUCUUUCCAUACGUUUUUUCCAUUGUUCGAAGCAGUGCUGGAACUCUUCUUUUGUGAUGGCGUUCAAAAGCCGCGUCGAUUUUUCCUUCGCCUCCUCUACGGCCUGAAAUCAGGUACCUUUCAACACGGAUUUGAUCUUGCUUCUGCGAGCAGUGCGUUAUGGGCAGGUGCGUUGUUGUUCGUUUUUUCGUCACAUAUGAUUUCCGACGCCGCGCACUACAAACCACGUUCCAUUCAAACCACUGCUGCUCGCAAACUACUAUAGUGACAAAAACGUGUUUUCGUACGUUUAUAGCAGACACUUCAAGCUACCGAACGCACUAUUCGUUUUUUUCCCCCACCCCUCUAGGGAACCCUCCAGACGCGCAGUCUCAUUAUUUAAUAGCCAUACCUCGUACAUCAUGAAAAUAUUCCGAAGAACAAUAGGUAAGAAAUAAUCAAUGGAUUACCAUUAUCCACAGUUAGUUGUUUCAUCAUAUAUCCCAUAAUUUUAGUUAAGUCUCAUCAUUUCCCUAGAUUAAUGAAGAAACGGAUGUGAUAACUACUAAGUGCUACUUGUCUAAUUAUUUCCUAGCUUUUAGUACAUUAUACCGUUUAACUAAAAAGUUUUUUUGACGUGGGACUACGUCUAACCGGAAUAUAUGGAGGGUAAAAUGAAAACCUAAACACAGAACAUGCAGAAAAAAAUGAAAGAUUUCGAAUGCUUGUAGCUCGAACAUUUCGUACUGGAUAGGAGAGAUGUUUGCAUCACUUGAUAGGGAAUAUUUCUACGCAUCUAUCGUAACUAACAAAAUGUUGUUUUUCAUUAGAUACACAAUUGAAUAACUGUAAAAUAUUAGGCGUUAUCUAAACGCCCUAACUGCAUCGUUUUGAUUGGCCCGAUUUACGGUUUCCCUAACACAGCCAUCAAAACCAAGCAGCCUUGGGGAAAUCGGCAUUGCAAAUACAUGAAAGUAGGGGGACUUUUGUUCUCAUCGAAAAAUGUUCCCUAACACAGACUUUAAAACCAAGCAGCGAAAUCGGCAUUGCAAACACACGAAAGAGCCUAGAGGCGAGUGAACUGAAAAGUUUAAACCCUCUUAAAGCCAAAAAGAAGAAAAAGAACACACGAAAGUAGGGGGAGCUUUUGUUCCCACCGAAAUGUGUUCCCUAAUAGAGAUUUCUAAACCAAGGUGCCUGGAGAAAUCGGUAUUUCAAAUUCAUGCAAGUCGGGGGUAUUUUUGUUCCGACUGGAAUGUGUUUCCCUAACACAGACUUCAAAUCCAUGAAGCGUGGGGAAAUCGGCGUUGCGAAUUCAUACAAAUCGGGGGUAUUUUUGUUCCGACUGGAAUGUGUUUCCCUAACACAGACUUCAAAACCGAGGUUUCUGGGGAAAUUGGCUCUGCAAAUAAAUGCAAACUGCGAGUACUUUUGUCCUCGCUUGCCUUUGUGCAGUGUGGAAUAUGUCUGUCCUAACAUGAUCUUCUAAACUUAGGAAGCUGGGAAAAUCGUGCAGCCACUGAAGCGAAUGAACUUCCCAGUUUCAAGCAAAUUCGAGAUUCGAGAAGUAUGUACACUUUUGGGAUGUAAACUUCAGAGGGAAAUGUAAAAUAAAAUAAUCGUUUGAUAAUUUUUUUUUUGUCUUUAUUGGAAAGAUUUUCAGUCUUAGGCUGGUUCAUCAAACGUUUGAUAAUUCUUCCGUACAUAUAUUUUGUUCUAGUCAUCAUACCAAACGUAAAAGGUCCGUCAUUAAAGUUACUUGUAACGAAGAACACAAUAAAUGAAUUGACUUUACACGGCAUUUGUUCAUUUUUUUCACUCACAGAGCAAAUAUAUUGAACUCAAUUGAAUUUGGAAACUGUUUCAUUCAAUCAAGAAUUUAAUCAAUACAAACGAAUGAUUGCUAAGCUAAGGUAGUUCCACGUGAACCUUGCGGUUAUAUCAUAGAUAUAACCCACUCAUUUUUUUACUUAUUUUAUUUUCUAGUUUUUAGUAAAUUAUUUGUAUCAUUAAUAUAAUUCUCUACAUUAAAACCAUUAAAAAAAAAUUUUUUUUGAAUUUUUAUUUCUUACCUAACUUUUUUCGGAAUAUUUCGAUGAUAAACUGUAUUCUAUCAGUCAAAUCAUUUCAUUUGAUACCAAUAUUGAGGAAAAAAAAAUACAAAAAUACAUACACCGUGACCAUUUUGUGGCGGUGACCUUUUCGAAUUUAUGUUGUUCAUAAUGUAGUGUAUUUUCCAAGUCAAACCAUUCAGCCAGAGAUUACAAUUAGAGGGAUGUUCCAACUUUCAGAUCAAUCAGUCAAUAGGAACGAGGUCAAUUUUCUAUCAAUGUGGGACAAUUUUACAAACACUCAAACAUACGUACAAAAAGGGCAAGCUGAAUGAAACCAUUUAAAAGUAAUUGUUUAAUUGAGAAUUGCGGUCAUCUUGGAUUAGAUUUUUCAUGAUCUACUGUGUUCUACUAGUCAAGUCCUUUCAUUUGAUACCCAUAUUGGUGGGGUUGUGAAAAAAAUAUAUAUGGCGCCAUCUUGUGGUGGCGACCAUUUUGGAUUUGCAUUUUUCAUAAAUAACUGUAUUCUACUAGGCAAGCCCUUUCAUUUGAUACCCAUAUUAAUAGGGUUCUGAUAACACGCAACUUACUCAGCUUGAACAAGGCAGAUUUGAGUACAUUACCCGGUCUAUUGACCGGACACUAUCCGAGCAGGUAUCACCUUAAAAAUAUCGGAAAACUGGCAGAUGAUAACUGUCGUUUCUGCAAUUCCGAAGCUGAGACUUCGGAACAUUUACUGUGUCAAUGCAGUACACUAAUUCAGCGAAGACUGCGAAUUCUUGGAAAGGGCAUUCUUAUGCCUAACGAGAUUUGGUCUGCUGAACCAAAACAGGUAAGGAACUUCAUAAAGGAAGUCAUACCUUCGUGGGGGGAUAUGCAAAGUACUGGUGCGACUAUCACUCACUUAUUCCCUGAGUGAUGGAACGAACUGACACUGCAUACAUAGCAAGCUGCAGUGCACUACAAUAGAUCAAACUAAUGGUCGCAGUGGUACAAUGCUCCUACAGAAGAAGAAUGGAGUUCUGAGAAAAUAUGUAAUCCGCCAUUAUGUAGUGGCCACCAUCUUGGAUUUGCAUUUUUCAUAAAUAACUGUAUUCUACUAGUCAAGCCCUUCCAUUUGAUACCCAUAUGAGCUAUUCAAUAUGGAAUUAUUAUACAAAUUAUUCAAAUUUUCCGAAAAUCAUAUAUAAAAUACUCCGGAUAAUCGAGUCCGACCUGUAUUUGCAACCGGUCAUAGUAGAUACGCCUACUAUGACCACUGCUUUGAAAUGAACUGUGCUUCCGGAUCCUAACUGCCUUUGCUCUUCUCAGUCAAAUUAAAUCUAAUGAUAUGGAAAAAAGCCAUCAACCUUCUGUUGAUUUAACAGUUCUUCCCAAUUUUAGCUGGUUGUGUGUAAUCCAAGAAGUUAAGACAUCGGGCAUUAUCAUUGAAAUCAACUCGAUAAGAAUUUUCAUCGUUGGGCGUGGUACACGAAUUCUUCUUAUUCUUAAAUGGCACUAACGUUUCCAGAGGAACUUCGCCGUCUCAACGUAUUGUUACUGGCGCUAUUUUUUAGUAGUACUCAGUUGAGAUUUCUAUGCCAAAUAACACGCCUUGAAUGUAUUCUGAGUGGCAAGCUCUAGAAUACGCGUGAGUCCGAGUCCGAGAAAAUUUGUCUAACGAAAAAUUUCCCCGACAAGAACGCGAGUCGAACCCUGAACCCCUGGCAUGUUAGGUGUGACGCUAACCGCUCGGCCACGGGAGCACAAUUGAACUUUGAACUUGUUGGUGAUCCUGAAUAGAACGAUGGCGCCUUAAUUUUACGUCCGUGUUCGGGAACACAUUCCGAUCACCACAAAAGCGAGCAUUUAUCCAUUGGAGAAUUUGAAAAUUUUGAAGAUCUAAAAACAUUUUAGUAAAGUUGCAUCCAAGUGAGUGACAUAUGAUAAUAUAACACGGUCUUGAAGCUUUUGUGAUAAUUUUGACAAAUGCGGAAACUGUGAAUAUUCUCUUCUGCUUAAAUUUAGGUUUGUAAGUUUUGUCAGAAAGGCCGAUAUUAUUGAUAUUGGGCCCUAUCAUAGAAAUCGAAUCGAGGAUUCGAUACAAUCACUAUCACUGUCACACCGAGUAAAAUCUGGAAUUAUAGAAAUCGAGGAAAACAGCUCGAUUCGUUACUCUGCUCGAAUGUCAGUGGCAGUAAUGAAAUAUUUUGAAAUGAGUUUGAAAUGUUUCACAAAGCACUAUAGAAAGGAUGCCAGAUCUUUUUUUGAGACAUCGGCUAUGAAAAUUAUAAAUAUCUAUAUUUCCAAAAGUGUUAAUAUGGUUGUGUUUUGGAGAAAACUGAUAUUCCCUUUACGAAUAAAGCUUAAUGGGUGUAAUGCAUGCAUGGAUGUGUAAUAAAAACGACUUCAUGGAACAAUUUGCUGUACAAAAAAUAUAAUUAUUAGAAAAUGAACUUUUUCAUGUAUUUUCACAACUGCAAUCGAUGGAAUUCCGUAAGGAGUCACGCAUGAAUUCCACUUUUUUUAGCAAAACAAUUUUUUUUUCAUGUAAUUUUCUUUUAGAUUUCUCGUUGUAGCGGCGCCAAUAGCUUUAUUGUAUUGAACCACCACCUGUGGCCCUAAAUUCUCGCUUGUUGUGUGCUAGUGUUUUCUUUACCUUUCACCUCAUGUCAAUCCAAAUCUGUAAUUUAAAAAAAAAAUCAUUAUUGUUUUGCAAGACAUUUCAGCUUUAGCAAAUGGUAUAGAAAGUUUGGUAUAGUAUAGCAAUAAAAAAGAAAAUUACUGACAAAAGUAACACGUACUAAUGUACGCUAGCAGGAAUAAGCAAUUUUUAGGUAGGGAAUACGGUUGAUAGUAAUUCAAAGAAUAUGAUAAAAUUUACUUAUGAAGUUAUAUGUAUCGUAGAAGAAAUACUUACUUUCUGCCAUUCUGAACCAAGAUUGGUGGUCUCAGUGUAUCAAUCUCCUCACUGAAUUCCUCCCACUUUUCCUUAACAGGGAUUCUAUUUGAACUGCCUUCAAAAAAAAAAAAAAAUCGAGCAAUGUUUACAUUCGCUUUCAUUGGUUCAACGAGUCGUGCUGGUGGGGAUUUGUCUGUCCACUCAUUUUCAGCCACUGAAAUAUGCGGUGGAAGUAAAUUCUGCAUUGUAAUUUACAACGUGAUUAAUAUAAAUAAUGAUGGAUUGAACACUUACCUUGUAUAUUGUGUUGAAAAUUGCAUAUAUUUAAGCGUUUCUGAAAUGUUUCCCAAGGGAAAGUAUCAGGGACGCAAACCAAAACAAAAUAAUUCUCUGAAGAUACACUGAGAGAAAUAAUUAGUAAAUAUAACGAAUUUUUUGGUAAAUACUACCAAUCUAUAGUCAUUUUCGACCGUACUAAUAAACACAUAUGUCAAGCAGAACCAUGAUUUGGAAGCCCAAUAUCGGCUACAUUUUCUCGCCGAAAAUGCACGUAUCAGAAUUAUAUCCUUAUUAUACCUCCGUAUUGCCUUAUGGGAACAAUGAAAAUGGUUAAUACGCGCUUUUCUCACCAGUUUUCAGAUAUGACAAUAUCCAAGCUUACUAAUGUUAUCGAGUAAAAUAUACUAAUCUCUGGUAGGGAUGCGGGUUUGUUGACAAUAUAUACAAAAAAUUUGUACAUUCUACUAAUUUUGCAUUACCAAAUGUAUUUGGUAGUUUUCGACCGAGGAUUUUUCUAAGUGUAUGCAAAAAGCGAACCAAACAACUCGAAAAUUUCUGACACUUGCAUCGAUAGCCAUCACUCGCUCGGUGCUAUCGAAUUGCUCGAUUUGUAUAAUAGUAAAAAAGAGCUAACGAGCAAAAUUCUUAUCGCCUCGAUUUCUAUAAUAGGGCCCAUUGUUUCAAUCAAGUUGAAAUCGUCACCCUGUUGCAGUUGAAACACAAAUUCAAAAAAGCUAAAAAUCCUGCAGGAGAUUCCAGCGUGUAGAAGUAACCGAGUCAAGAUUUUUUCGUUUUUCUCAUAUAGCUGAGCAAAUAAUCGAGUGUUCGAGUGUACAGAUCCUGUACGGUACAGAUUACAGAUUUUCGUCAAAAAGUACAGAUUGGUACAGAUUUUUCCGCGUGUGAAAUUUCUCUCUUUUUUUGGUCAGUAUUAUUACUUGAAAUCACUCAUUACAUUCACCUGAGAAUAAAUUUCAUUACUUGAAAAUAAAUUCAUAGUAAAAAUUGCGCCCCGAUGGCGUUAAUACGUAAGUAUUUGUAGUAAGUAAAUGUAGACAUAAAGUUAGUAAGCAAAUAUAAAAUUUUGUAGUAAAUAAAUGAGUAUUUUUUCAUGCUUCAUGAUUUUCCUCUACGAUGAAAAUUUUCGUUGGUACAGAUUUUUUGAAGAAAAAGUACAGAUGAGAAAGAUUUCUUCCCCUUCUGAUACAGAUAAAAAUGUGGCAACACUGCUCAUAACAUAUAGUAAAGACUGAUGCGAUCUAGGGCUCAGAUUUUUUGGUACAAAAUGUUGUCUGUGAAACACGCAGUGAAUGGCCAGUACCUUACGUAGUAUAUAUACCAGGUGAAACAAUCAUAUGAAAUGCACUUUCAGCCAUAUUGGAAUUGCUGUCGGUAUUGUUUACAAACAGUUGCCGGCAGCUCUCUACAAACUGCCACGACGCUUAUUCGAACGAUGCUUACUAUGUUCUGCUUUCGCGAAUUUAUGUGAAAAAGAAGGGAUGAUUUUGUAGAAUUUCAUUCUCAUCCAGUUCAUCCACUACUCUCGCAUGUGAAAAUGCAAUAAUGGCGUAUCCUAGCAAUAACAAAACAAACAACCCCCGCUCCACAAACCGUAAUCCCCUUCUUAUUGAAGUGAUGAUGUUGCUUCACCUGUUAUACAUUUAUACAAGCGCCUUGGUUGUAACCUGGAGUUUGCUGUAAAACCAUGAUGGUAAACUACUCGUACACUCAAACACAUUAUCUGUUCACUCAAACACGAACCUGUUCACGUUUUUUUACUUGCCGAAUUUUUCAUCUUGUACUUUUUGUACUUUUUUAUUUUCAUCUCGUCACGUUUUCGUCACGAUGAGUGCAUCGUCUUGUUGAGUUUUUAAAAUGUACAGCAAUAAUAUUUUCUACUAAGUUAUUAGACAUUCUAAGGGUUACCACAUAUACAGAAUAUUCUGUAUUUUACAGAUUUUUCGCCAAAUUUCAGAUACAGAAUCUGUAUACACAGAAUUACAGAUUUUCUGCAAAGAUACAGAAUUUGAAGAUAUUUUUUUUCAAAUUAAAAUCAAAAUGUUCAAUUAAUUACAGUUAUUUUUUUUCUGUCUACCUUCUUACUAAUAAACAUUGUUAAUUUUUACCAUUGAUUCAUGAAGCUAUGUACCUUGAUUUAUAAAAAUGCUAAACCAUAUGAAAUGUCAUCUCACUUCUCCAUUCCUGCUAAGGAUGUUUUUGGGGCACUUUUUGAUAAUAAUUUGAUAAUCCACAUUCAUCAGCGUGUGUUGAGUGACUAUUCUUGCUUCACAAUGCCAACAAAACAAAGUUCUGAAAUCGGUUGGCUUUCAUAAUGAUGGACUCUAUUUUGAAGGCAAAGAACUAUGCAUCGGCUCAAGGAGGAGCCUUUUUUAUGAUUUUUGUUGUUGUAUUGAUACGACUUAAGCAAACCAUAAAUAAGAACAAUAAAUUCAAAUUGAAAAUAAACCAUUUCCAUUUUUUCCGUUAGUUUUAUGAUACAGAUUUAUUCAGAAAAUUUUAGAGGAUCAAAUGUGGCAACCCUGGUCAUUCUCAUAACAGGGUUGUUCACGUAACACAACUUAUGGAGCACCUUGAAAAUUUCAAAUAAGAACUUGUGUUAUAGGGGUCGAAAUUCAGACCCCGUCGAACUCCAAAAUCAAUUUUCGUUUCUGUCGACCCCUGGAAAACCGAAAUCGACCCCAGGGGGUCGAUAUCGUCCACUUUGAGAAACCCUGGUUUAGAAGCUGACGGGAACCUAAAAGUAAAAUAGUUGAGGGCCUGUUGGUUUCUACUGCUGAGAAGCACGCUAUCAGUUCUUCAUUUUUUUCAUCAUUUAACGGACAUUCGUGAUGAGUUCAGACCUUGGUUGAAUAAACUUAUUCCUCUCGCGAUCGAUCCAUAUUACCCGCUCUACGCUUCAUAUAUUACAAACCUGUCCAUAUUACCCCCUGGUAUAUGUCCAUAUUACCCGCAUCGAAGAAAAUGUUGUACUUUUCGGUCUGGUCCAAUUUCAGAAAAAAAACAGGAAGUGGGUUAUAUCUGCGGUAUAACCGCAAGGGUGACGUAGGACUAUCGUUGAUUUAAUGACCAUUUGUUUCAGAUGCAUUUGAAUAAAUUCUGAAUGAAUGAAUACAUAAAUAUUUGGGGGACUUCGAAAACGUUGGAAGCACAAUAUUCAACAAAAGAAGCAAUCACACAAAAGUUGUAUAAUAGAUAAUACACUAGCUGACCCGGCAAACGUUGUUCUGCCAUAUAAUGUAUUAUUUCUAGAGAAUAUUUUGGUUGGUAAAAAUAUCGAAUAUACUUCAAGAGAGUUUAUAUGAUAUCGUUCAGAUCUGUCAAAUUGAUCUGAAUGAUGAUUUUGAUGAAUUUUCCCUUUUUAUUUUAAAUAUCCUUAUAUAUAAAGAUAUGCAUAGUCAAUUUUUUCGAAUUUUUUCAAUCAUCUCAAAUAUUUUCCAAAGUACUCUAUCAGUCUAAUUUAGGUGAAGACAAACUCAUAAAAUAAAUGGACGACGUAGAUCUGAUCAGCCGUUCUCCCGUGAUGAUGAGUUAUACGUACGUGGGGAAAACUCUCUUUUAUAUAUAAAGAUUGCCUGUAUUGUGAUAUAAUUUGUAUUCCAUUUCCAAUAGACAAAAUAUCUGUUGCAUCGAAUUUUUGCGUUCGCUCAUCCUUUCUCAUAACACCCAUUUCUCGUUUGAGAAAUUGUUGAGUGAACAUCGUUUGCCAGUGCACGUAGAGCGGGGAUUCCUUCUUAAGGUUCAUUGCACCUCUAAUAAAUUGCGAAAGACCUGGUCUUACGUUGAUCGCACUUGAUUGAAAAAUCACAAAACCAAAUUUAUUUGGUCGCAGUGUUUUAUGGAUGGAAAACUUUAAAAUAAACUCUUUCGCUUGAAUGUAUUUUUCGAUUCCAAGGGGAACUAGCAGAUUAUUUUUCACCAACGAUUACAUCUUUCCGGAAUCUUCUCGAUGUUGAACAGCAACCAAAUGAAAAGAAUUCCGCGCGUGUAUGUGUGUGUGUGUGUGUGUGGCGGUUGCUCCGAUGCCUCAAGCGGAACCGUUUGUCGAUGCUGAUACUCUCUUGGUUGCCUUUUCAGUGGCAUCACUCUCCUCCGGAUGGAUUCCCUUCUGGCCUAAGAUGCACAAACAGGCUCUUGGUGACACCGUUCAUCAGCGCUUUCAUGAUGAACGAAGUUAGCUUCACCACAACAGCGACAACAUGCUCCAAACGCUGUUCAAUUAUAACUGAGUGGUUUUCCGAGCGGCGCUCGCUUAUAUACCGAUUGGUGAUUUCAAUAGCCUGUUUUGAAAGCAAUUUUGAGGCUAUUGAAAAAGGGUUUUGGGUCAAAAAGUAACAAAUAUAUAACGCAUAGACAUUUUAUUUUUCGAAUGAAGUGUUUAUCAUACCAUUUCGUUCAGUCGUUUAAGAGCUAUUAACGCUCAAAAUCUCGGUCUCCGGCGUAACGCUUUCGUUUUCGAAACUUUUAAAUCCCGGUAUAGAAAAGAAAGACGUAGUCCUACGUCAAAACAUGAAAAAAUUCUUUUUCGUAAAAACAGUACAUUGAAUUGCAAGAAACUGCAUCAAAGUUUUGGGAAACAUGAGUUUCCAAAGGUAUAAUUGAAGUUCUCCUUAACGUGUCCAUUUUACCCCCACCUCCCCUAUAUGUUUACUUCUUCUUAUGAUCGGAGGUUGUGAUGAGACGACGCAACAUCAAGAUUGUACGAUGUGCUGAGUAGAACUUGCUGUUCAAAUGUUUCCAACGAUUUAUUGAUCUCUUUCGCAAAAUAGGGUCGAGUGUGAUAAUACUACAAAAUUACUCAAUAGUAUCAUUGUGUCCAUUUCGCUGUGCCUAUGGCUCUCAAGAUUUUCUCUAAGAACCCAUUAACGUAACGGGUAACGGGCUUACAGCCUAUAAUCCAAUAAUAAUAAUAAUAAUAAAUAAUAACCCAUUCUUCGGGCUCUGUUCUGUAUUUCCAGUCGAGCAGCUCGACUCAAGUCCAAUAACCGCCAAUCGAGUCUGGAAUCGCUCAUUGCAGAAGACGACUAUCAUUGAAAUGUCUAACCAUGCAAUGUCUUCACCAUGGCUCUAUGGCCUAUAAGAAUCCUCAUCAACUUCAGUGGGUUGGUUUUUGCUUUAUCCGACUGAUAUUGAAUCAUAGAGACUUUAAACUCUGGGAGUUCAUUCGUCUCUAGCCUUGAAAAGGGCCAAUGUGGACAAUGCCAAUCCAAACUUCUUCCCCAACAACCUUGGCAAAGUAACUUCAUUGUCGUGUUGAGCAUCCGACGUUAACCGGAACUGGUUUAUAGUUCCUCGUACCCCGUAGAAACGCUACCCCGUAGAAACGCGCCGUUCUUUGUAAGAUGACGCCAGUAGUGUUUUAUUUUAUCCGAAAGGUCGCAUAAAAAAGGCCAACAUGAGGUUAUGCAUUUGUAAAUCAUUCACCAUCAUUACGAUUGAGAGCUUUCAUCGCAUUCUUCUGUAUUCACUUUUGACGUAGGAUUACGUCUUUCGGGAACAUAUUGGGGUACGAAUUGAUAAUCGAAAAUCGAGCACAUCGUGAAAAUUGUCCAAUUUCAAACACUUAUUGCUCAGUCAUUUCAUGAUGGAUUGAUGAAAUUUUUGCGUAAAUCGAUUUCGGCAGUCCAUAACAAUUUUUUAUAUUGAAGAAAAUAAUAUAUGUCAUGAAACUAACUAUCGAACAAUUGAAAAAUCUCAACCCCUAUCUUAACGGCAAUACCCACUUCUGAUUGGUCAAAAUUGACGACAUAUGCGGCGGUUCCCUAAUAGAGACAUCAAAGCCAUGCUGCCUGGGGGAAAUCGACAUUGCAAAUAUAUGAAAGUAGGGAGAACUUUUGUUGCUACCGAAAUGUAUUCCCUAACAGAGACAUCAAAACCAAGCUGCCUGGGGGGAAUCGACAUUGCAAAUACAUGGAAGUAGGGGGAAGUUUUGAAGUCUCACCAAGACCCUGUUUGAUGGCAGCUGCCGAUGAGGCUUUUGUGGAUGUGGAAGAAGAUGAGGUAGAUGAGGAGGAGGAGAACGAGGAAGAUGUGAGGGAAGACAUGUGUUGCAGUCGUUGGGUCGAAGACGUCUUGGCCAUUCGAGAUGUGGUGGAGCUUGAUGCUGACGAUAGUUUGGAGCUUUUGCUGCUGCUUAGAAGCUGGAAUGAGAGGAUUGAAAUGAAGGAUUUAAUUAUCAGAUUCAAAAUUGAGAAAGGAAUAAGAUGAACGAAACAGAUUUGGCAUUGUUGCUUUUGUCUGGAACUCAUGAAUACUAUUAAGACAAAAAUACUAAAUAAGCACAAAUGAAUUCUUUUAUAGAUCACUUAUUCUACGUUCAAAUCCAGCUCAAAGCCAAGACACAGUGUUAUCCUGUAUAGUGUGGUCAAAUACUUAUAUUCAACUGUUCUUCGUCCAUCUGAACGCUCUUCGGUUGCUUUUCUUCAAAAAAAAACUUCAAACAGUUUCAUCGCUUGGUGUCAAAAAAAAACAUGUUAACCCAUAAUAGGCCAUGCGUUCAAAAAUUCGAACAGCAAAAUUGAUAGUUUUUCAUGGCUUUCGAAAACAACCAUAUAGUAAAAUUUCUGCAUCAAAUGGUAGCUUAAAGGGCGAACACGAAAUUAUUGCGACACAUUCAACAGGGCAUAACUUUUUACCAUUGGGUAAAAAUCAACCAAAUUUUGCACACUUUCUCAUUGAUGUAUAUUGUCUACAUGCUGUCAAACUCGAAGUCGUGUUUUUCGAUUCAAUGAAAAUGGAGAUGAACCAACGCGAGUCGAGAGAACAAAUUCUUUCCGAACACCUGGAAUUUCCUGACCUGUCGCACCGGCAGUUGGGAAAAAUGUUGAACAUUCACCAUUCAACCGUCUCCAGAGUGUUGAAGCGGUUCCAGGAGCGGUUGACGUUGGACCACGGCAAAGGAGCUGGAAGAAAACCGGGACCGGAGAAUUAAAAGACGGAGGGAAAGGUGAAGCGGAUGAUUAAAGCAAAUCCCAACGUCUCAAGCCGUGAUUUGGCUAAAAUGAUCGGCAUGUCGCAGAGCUACGUCCAGAAUGCAAAGAAGAGAGCUGGACUACAUACAGACAAGGUACAGAACUUCCUAAACAGCGAUGAGUGACAACAAUCGACGGCUUAAACUCGGGCACGGAAGCUCUACGAGAAGAUGCUGACAAAAUAUGGCUGCUGUGUGAUGGACGACGAAACGUAUACAAAAGCCGAUUUAAAGCAAAUUCCGGGAUUGGAGUUUUUCACCGGCAAGAGCAAGUUCGAUGUGGACGACAAAUUUAAGAAGAAGAAAAUGUCGAAGUUCGCCUCCAAAUAUCUCGUUUGGCAGGCCAUCUGCUCUUGCGGAGUGAGCCUUUCGUGACAAAGGGCACAGUCAAUGGCGAGAUCUACAAAUCUGAUUGCCUCGAGAAGCGCCUUUUGCCGUUCUUGCAGCAGCACGACGAAUUUUUUUCCGCUAUUUUGGCCAGAUUUGGCAUCAUGCCAUUAUUCUAAAAGUGUCCUGGAGUGGUAUAAGGCCAAUUCUGUCCAUUUUGUUCCAAAGGACAUGAACCCGCCAAACUGUCCGGAGGAGCUGUACUGGGCAAUAAUGAAGCGGGAACUUCGGGAGAGCAAGAAGAUAGUCAAAGACGAGAAGGACAUGUUAAGAAAAUGGAAAAAAACUGAGAAACUGGUACCGGAUGACACUGUAAAGACUUUGAUGGAGGGCAUCAAGCGAAAAUGCGUUCAAUUUUACACUCAAGGCUCCAUCGAUUAACUUUUCUUUUGAUUUUUGAAGUAAAUAUAUGUAUAAAACUACCCUAAAAUUUUGGGUUGAUUCUAAACAUUAUAAGAAAAUUGGCAUGACAUUUUCGGUGUCGCAAUAAUUUCGUGUUCGCCCUUUAGUCUAUUAGCUACCACUUACUAUCAAUUACAUUCAAUUUUGUGUAAAUUUAUUGGAUAAUAAAUUCGGUUGAAAGCAAGUAUGUGCGGAAUGUACAUAACCUAACAUGACAUUACAAAAAACAGAACCUAAUAAAAUGACCUAUUCCAGUGUGACGUGACAACGGUUUGACUCACUAAAAACAGGUUUUUUCUCGUUUUCAUGUAUAAAUCAUACGAUUCCCAAAUGAUAAACGAUUUUAUAGUGAAAUUGAGAGAAUUUCCUACAAGAAUCUUCAGUUGGAGAAUAUUUUGCAGUUGAAUUCGCUUGUUGCCAACCCAAUAGUUUUGUGACGUGACAACACCUGUCUUUUUGCGGGUUCCGACUUUUGAACAUUAAUGAGGUAUUUUCAGUUCCGUUCCAAAACAUACAAAUAAACUUUGUUCUAUGAUUUGUCAAUGAAGGAUGAACGUAGAUUCCUGUAUACCCAGUUUUUCGAAAAACUCGUAAGAACAUGCAUUUUGACGGCAUGCAUUUUGUGACGUGACAACGCGCUCUGUGCGAAUAAACAGUCUCCACGAAGCGUUGUCACGUCACACAAUCUAUAAGUUGUAUUUAAUAAUAAUUUCACCGUAUUGGAGCAAGCUAUAUACUAUUUCUCAUGUUUUUAUUACUCUGAAUACCUCUUACAUUCCUCUGAGAUCUCCCCUUCCCCUUCCAAAGGUCCAUCCUAUAGGGGAAUGUGGUCCUAACGUGACCGGUGAUCCUGAACCUACCCCUCUUUGUAUCUCGGUACGUCCUAUAGAAUUUUCAAUAGUAUCAAAUGAAAGGUGUUAUAACGCUGACAAUUUGAUAGCGUGGUGACUUUUUUCUGGCUCUCUUCAUUUUAGCGUUUUAGCGCCAUUUUGCGUUUUCAUUGCUUCAAAAACAGAGAAGAAAUAUUUCUGACCUGUAUGCAAAAUGAGUUCAAUGUUCUUUUACCGAGACGUGUUCCCUAACAGAGACAUCAAAUCCAAGUUGACCAGGGGAAAUCGACACUGCAAAUUUAUGCAAGUCGGGGGCAUUUUUAUAUUGCAAGAAAGAUGAGUGAUACGAUCAAUUUUAGCAAAUAAAAUUUAAAUUUGGAACGUUAAUGUUGGUUGCUUCGUGAAAUUUUAAAUCAAUGACCGAUCGUGUAUUGUGAAAAAUUUAGCACAAGUGUAAAUUUUCAUAAAUAAAAACCAAUGUGUGUUCCCGCUCGAGAACAGGUCGUUUGGUUUAAAGUUUCUGUUUUCUGUUUCAUUGUAUUCAUUUUCACCCAAGGAAAGUUUAUAGAAAAUUACCUUUUCCAAUUCAAUUAUGUUUUCUUUAUAUUAAAGUAACAUGUUUUUACUGAAGAGAAAAAAUUAUAAUUGUGUUCGGUAUUAGUAAUAAUGUUAGAUUACGUUGGUGAGUUUUUUUUCUUUAUUUCAUCCAUACAUAACAUAGGAGACUUCUCGUCUUGGAUCACAGAGGGCGGUUUUCACCAUAUCUCGUUCCACUUUGGUAUCUUUUAUCUGAUACGCACUAUCCAACGACUGUCCUUCUGUCAUCAUCACUGGUGGAGUGAACAAACAAUAUUCAACAACCAAACAGAACGGCCCUUUACAGGGUUUACAGAGUUUUACGAUGUAACUCUUCAAACAUAUCCAAAAUCAACAGAUCGCCUAACGGAAUCCUACGUCAACUAUGCGGUCGUGUCUCGGACACAACACUCCUGUGACUUUUUUAUGAGUAAUUCAGUCAAAUGCAACAGGAACAAGCGAACCUCGACAAGUUAUUCCGUAUCGUUUGAGAGCUUUGGAAAUAUCACAUACGAAUAGAAACGGUGGUAUGUUGGAUGGCAUUUGUCUGCAUGCGAACGACUGCUCCAAAGGAAAAUGAUUACGGGAUACAUUAUGACAAUCCAAACCGAAACAAAAUUUGGACGUUACUGCAGCUAUCCAUCCAACAACAACGGCCAAGCCACAUAUUCACGGUGUGAGGCUGAUGUUGCGUAACUGGUGGGACCAACUUAACGUGGUAUUGAGACAACUGUAGAGAUCAGGUGAAACCAUUCCAAGAGCUCACUAUUGAACAAAACUAAUGCGCUUGAGUCGAGUAUUGAAGGAAAAACCGUCGCAUUUCACGAUUUUCGCUAAUUUAGCUGCACUACACCACUCGACCACAUGUAGAUCAAGGUAUUGGUUGAGCAACAUUUCUGUAUUCACGAAGAGUCCGAAAAUUUGAAAUCAUGGUUCUUCAGGUGAUGAAUCCGUAUGCUGCCAGACAGAUCGGAAUAGGUUGGCGGAUUUGAAUUUGCACAUCUGAUAGUACUACGAGUAGUAAGAAAAUGCACAUUUAUCAUCUCCUGUUUUCAUUUGUUACCGUAAUUUCCAUCACUAUUACACGUUUGCGUUGAUUAUUAUUAAUAUUAUUUCCCUACACAAUCCAGCUUGAAACAAUUAGCAUAGCUGCAGGCAACUAUAGUGCGGCAAAUGAGGAAGUUCUGGCGAACAAAUAGCUGCAAAAAGGUAUGUAAACGAUAAACAAAUAACGCUAUCGAAGUUGGAGGAUUUCAUGUGUGUCUAAUUCGCUAAUUCGACUACUGGCAACGGCGAUAGUAUUUAGUAAUUAAAUCACUAGCACCAACUGAUUAAAUUCUAAACGAUAAUGCAGGUCAUUUAUCGAUUUGUAUAUAUGAAAAACCCAAUAACAAUGCAAUUAAUGUUAAUCAAAGCGUGUGAAAGCGUGGUAAUAUUUUAACCACCACCCUCAUGAAGACAACAUUGCAGAGCGCAUUUAAUUUCGGUUUUGUGAUAAAGUUACGAAUUGGCACUCGUGUACAUAUGACAACAAUUGAAAAUAUUAAUUCGCUGUAAUACCAGAUAACUGCAUUUAGAAUUAGACUUUAGUGGUGCGAGAAUAAAGUUUGGAGAAGCAGAAAAAACAAAACAUUGCAACCAUCAAACAAUAAUUACCCUUAAGAUUUAACGAUAACGAAUUGUAAGUAUAGUAGAGUUUGAAAAAACAAAAAAAAAGAAACACCUUCAGCGGUUACCAAAUUUAACACCUAACAAAAUUAAUAUUUUUGUGGAUUGCUCUAUCCUAUAGAUUAACUGUUCAUGAUCUAACAAUCAGUUGCGGAAAAUUUGAACAAAUCAGCAUAUUUGCAUAACUUGCCAAGAAGAUCUAGUGAUUAUUAACCAAAAUUUGUAGCAGAAAAGGAGACUAUGUAAACAGAAACUAGUUUUAUCGUACGGUAUGAAUAUAGCUUUUGAAUGUGAUAACCUGAACAGAAAGGUAAAAGUAGUAACAAGCUAUCUUGAAUACUAAUCAAAAGCGCACUACCCUAACUCUAAACCCAAAUCUGGUGUGAAUACUGUAACCCUGGAAUUCUGUAAACGUCGGUUGUUUUCUCCCUAUUACUGUCGUUUACACAACGGAAAGUUCCAAUGCACGUCUCAAGCUUCCUUUUUUUAUUCUUUGGUUUCGAUUCGCCCACUUAGGGGCAAGACCACACAGACCGCGACAGGAUUUUGAUGAUAAUAGUUGUUAAUAGGUGACGAAAGUGAAAUCCUCUGAACGCACGGUUUCAAACACAGCCAAAAAGCAAUUGGAAACGAAUUAUUUCACAGCUUAUACACACAUUAUACACAGAUUGCGAGGAAGAUUCAAACAAAAAAUUAAAAAAAAAAUUGAAACAGGUACCAAUACCUAAGCAAGCACAACACAAAACUAGAAUCCGCGAAAUCGAAAACAAACCUGAUAGAAAAAAAAACACAGUGAGGCACAGUUUGACGGAGUCACAAGUAAACCAAAAGGGAAACGUUUCACAGUGAUAUACAGCGUUAGAAUUUUUCCCCAUUUUGACUACGACCUUAGAUGUGGUAGUCGGGAUAGACCCAUAAUAAUAACCCCCGAGUACUGUAGAUAGCACCACCAUGAUAAGCCUUUGAUGAAAAUUUUAAAUGUGUUACAAGAAACAAACAAAAAAAAAACAGUUAUCAGAAAUCAAGAGGAGAGACAAAUUAACAAUGUUUGGAACUUGGAAAUUGAACCUAUGUAAAUUGGGGUAUAUAUUAUAUAUGUGAAAAAACCAGAUCAUUAUAUAACAUUUCAAGAGAAAAGUGGUAGGAAUAACAUUUUGAGCGUACAGACAGAAUGUAUCAUUUGGUGGGUGCUGGCUAGAAGGGAUGAAUAUGUCACUAAAGCACCUUUAACACCUUCCGGUGCGAGUCUAACUCGUGAUGCAGCUUUUGAUCCACCCAUGAAAAUGUUGGUCAUUUCUUAAACAAAAUUAUGUAAUAUUAACAAUUAGCAACUAAAUUCUCAUUUCAAGGUAUCAAAAAUAAGUGAAAAAAAAUGUUUUAAGUUAAACGGUUUAAUUGUGAUUAAACAUAACAAUGUACUAAAAGCCAGAAAAUAAUUAGGCAAGUAGCAGUUAGCAGUUAUCACUCCUCUCCUUCAUUAGUCUAGGGCAUUGAUAAGACUAAAAUAAAAUCGUGGGACAUAUGAUGAAGUAGCUGAUUGUGGAUAAUGGAAACCCAAUGUGCCCCACGAUUUUAUUUUAGUCUUAUCAAUGCCCUAGACUAAUGAAGUAGAGGAGUGAUAACUGCUAAAUGCUACUUGCCUAAUUAUUUUCUUGCUUUUAGUACAUUAUUAUGUUUAAUCACAAUUAAACCGUUUAAUUUAAAAAGUUUUUUUCACUUAUUUCAUUUUCUAGUUUUUAGUACAUAAUCUGUUUCAUUAGAAUAUUUCUCUACAUUAAAACUAUUGUACUGUAUUCUAUCAGUCAAAAAAUUUCAUUUGAUACCGAUACUGAGUGGAUUGCAGAAAAUACAUAGUGUGUUCUCCAAGUCAAGUUCGUUCGUUUGAUACACAUAUCUCAAUCAGCCUUUUUUUGAGAUGAUAUGGAAUCUGCUAUUUUGUAGCGGCGGCCAAAUUGGAUUUUUCAAGAUAAGCAGUUUUAAAAUGACAGCAGAGAUAAAGGUAUUUUAUAAAUUCGGUCAGUUCCUAUUGAUCAAAUUUCUAUUAAUGUGGGACAACCCUACAGACAUACAAACAUACAUACUAACAGUUCAAGCUGAAUAAAACCGUUUAAUAAAGUAAUUUGCUAUUUUGUGAUUGCGGUCAUCUUGGAUUUGGAUUUCUCAUGAUCUACUGUGAUCUACUAUUCAAGCCCUUUCAUUUGAUACCCAUAUUAACGGGGUUUUGACAUAAUAUGUAGUCCGCCAUUUUGUAGUGGCAGCCAUCUUGGAUUUACAUUUAUCAUAAAUAACCGUAUUCUACUAGUCAAGCCCUUUCAUUUGAUACCCAUAUUAAUGAAGUUUUGAGAAAAUAUGUAGUCCGCUAUUUUGUAGUGGCAGCCAUCUUGGAUUUGCAUUUUUCUUAAAUAACCGUAUUCUACUAGUCAAGCCCUUUCAUUUGAUACCCAUAUUGAUGGGAUUUUGGAAAACCCAUAUUGAUGAAGUUUUGAGAAAAUAUGUGAUCCGCUAUUUUGUAGCGGCCGCCAUCUUGGAUUUUCAAGAUUAUGAAAUACACAGUUUUGAAAUGACUACAGAUAUGAAGGUGUGUUCCAAAUUUCAGAUCAAUCGGUCAACAGGAAGGGGGUCAAAUUUCUAUUAAUGUGGGUCAUCGCUACAGGCAAACAUGUUACAAACAUACAAACAUACAAACAUACAAACAUACAAACAUACAAACAUACAAACAUACAAACAUACAAACAUACAAACAUACAAACAUACAAACAUACAAACAUACAAACAUACAAACAUACAAACAUACAAACAUA